CCUACGGGAGGCAGCAGUGAGGAAUAUUGGUCAAUGGCCGUAAGGCUGAACCAGCCAAGUCGCGUGAAGGAAGAAGGAUCUAUGGUUUGUAAACUUCUUUUAUAGGGGAAUAAAGGUAUCCACGUGUGGAUAUUUGCAUGUACCCUAUGAAUAAGCAUCGGCUAACUCCGUGCCAGCAGCCGCGGUAAUACGGAGGAUGCGAGCGUUAUCCGGAUUUAUUGGGUGUAAAGGGUGCGUAGGUUGUUUUUUAAGUCAGCGGUGAAAGUUUGUGGCUCAACCAUAAAAUUGCCGUUGAAACUGGAAGACGUGAGUGUGUUUGAGGUAGGCGGAAUGCGUGGUGUAGCGGUGAAAUGCAUAGAUAUCACGCAGAACACCGAUUGCGAAGGCAGCUUACUAAGCCAUAACUGACACUGAAGCACGAAAGCGUGGGGAUCAAACAGGAUUAGAUACCCAAGUAGUC
rnacentral:rRNA from 1 species